GCCAACGCCGUCCUCUUCCCUCGGCGGCGCCGUCCGCGACCGCCGUCUGGCGCCGUCUGCUUCUCCCACCAUCGGCCCCCGCCGACUGCUUCUCCCUUAGGCGCCGUCCGCCACCGCCGUCCGCAUCUCCUUUGGCGCCGUCCACUUCUCCCACGGUCGGUCCACGCCGACUGCUUCUCCCUUGGGCGCGGUCGGCGUCGUCCGCCGCGCGUUUCAACCCACGGCCUCGUGCUCUGUCCGCUUCUCCCACCGUCGGACCCCGCCGUCUGCUUCUCCCUUGGGCGCUGUUCGCUUAUCCCCACGACGUCGUCUGCAGCCCGUAUCAGCCCUACUUCGUCCGCUUUCCUCCCUUUGGCACCGUUUAUCGUCCGCUUCCUUCACCACCGUCGGACCCCGCCGUCCGCUUCUUCCCGCGGCGCCGUUUGUCGUCCGCUUCUUCCACCGACGUACCCCCUGCCGUCCGCUUCUCCCCACGGCGUCGUCCGCCGCCCGUUUCAACCCACAGCUUCGUCCGCUGUCCGCUUUCCACUGUCUGCUUCUUCCUGUGUCCGCUUCUCCCACCAUCGGUCCCCGCCGUCUGCUUUUCCCUGCUGCAGUGUCUGCGGUCCGUUACUCCCUACAGUGGCGUCUGCCCCCACCGUCUGCUUGUCCCUGUGGCGCCGUUUAACACCCGCUCUUCCUGCCGUCGCCUGCCACCGUCUGCCGCCGUCUGCUUCUCCAUGCGGCGUUGUCUGCCAUCGCCGUCUUCUUUUUCAGAUGGCGCCGUCAGCUUCUUCCUUCGGCGCCUCCUAUUUUUUCCCACGAUCCCGUGUCUCCCCACAUUGCCGUCCACUGUUUUGACUGGUCUGUAGUUGCUUGUUUUGUUAUUUUGUUUUAUUUUGUGCUGCUUUUCUUGCAGAUGAAUUGGGCUGGGCUGCUGUUUGCCUGAUGAAGGCGAUCCUGUUUAUUUUGUGCUCCU
rnacentral:misc_RNA from 1 species